UCGUUUGACCGCCGUUAAGAGGACAAAGAAGAACACGGUCGAGGCUCCAAAAGGAAAGUACAAUACGGAGAUGUCUCAGCAUGCUGCUUUAUUUGUGUACGCACUUUCUGCCCUAGUCAUCAUACUGAUUUCUGCUAUGGAUGCGGACGCUGCUCUCGCUCUCAACUAUGGAUCACAAAAAGCUAAGGAAUACUGGGAAAGCCAAGGCCGUGCAGAUGCUGUGUCAAAGCUGACGACUUGAAGACUGUUUACACGACUGGAAACAACAACAACGACAACCACAAACAACAAACAUACCUGCGAUGUUUUGGAAAGCUGGUAAAUAAAUGUCCUUGGUGGGCUCGUUGGAUGA